rnacentral:rRNA from 1 species
GACGAACUGUUCUAACGUUAUUCGGAAUCACUGGGCUUAAAGGGCGCGUAGGCUGUUUGUUAAGCGGGGUCUGAAAUCCCUCGGCUCAACCGAGGAACUGGGCUUCGAACUGGCAGACUAGAGUGAAGUAGGGGUAAGCGGAACUUGCGGUGGAGCGGUGAAAUGCUUUGAUAUCGCAAGGAACACCGGCGGCGAAGGCGGCUUACUGGGCUUCAACUGACGCUUAAGCGCGAAAGCUAGGGUAGCGAACGGGAUUAGAUACCCGCGUAGUCCCUGAGCGGGCUGG